rnacentral:piRNA from 1 species
UCACUUUAAGCAUCAGAGUGUGUGUGUGU